rnacentral:misc_RNA from 1 species
GUAUGUUGUCUAUAUGUUUAGACUUAAAACUUUUCUGUCUUUAUUGAUGAUAGAAACCUGUGAUGAUUUAUUAUUAGCCUUGGAUUUUGUGGCGUUCCCCCUCCCCUCUUUGAAGCACUCUUUUUCUAGAAGAUGCCCAUUUUUCCCAAAACGUUGAUUCAUAAUUUUGUGUAUCUGAAAAUCACCAAUUGCUGGUGUGUUAUAUCCAUUAAUGCUUUAGAAGCUCAUUUAAUCAAGUGGCUACAGCUGUGGAUGGUUUUACUGGCUUUCUUUUUGAACCACAGGUUAUAUCUCAAGCAUAUUAUAUUUUCGUUGACACCUAAUAAUAAUCUUUUAUUUGUCUUUGGUGUUUAUUUAUUAUUUGAAGCAACAGAUAAUAUAGAGAUAAGAGUCAUAGGACUUUUGAGCUAUUUCUCUUGAUUACUUCAAUACUGUGGCAAGUUUUACUGGAAAUAUUUUUAUGGUCUUAGAAGGUGUAACUUGCUAUAUCUCUAUUGCCUCAUCUGUAUUGUUGAUUUACUAAUUUUGCUAAACAUCUCUCCUUUCAUACGUUCUAGUGAUGGUGAAACAUUUAUAUCA